UACGUAGGGUGCGAGCGUUGUCCGGAAUUACUGGGCGUAAAGAGCUCGUAGGUGGUUUGUCGCGUUGUUCGUGAAAACUCACAGCUUAACUGUGGGCGUGCGGGCGAUACGGGCAGACUGGAGUACUGCAGGGGAGACUGGAAUUCCUGGUGUAGCGGUGGAAUGCGCAGAUAUCAGGAGGAACACCGGUGGCGAAGGCGGGUCUCUGGGCAGUAACUGACGGCUGAGGAGCGAAAGCGGGGGAGGCGAACAGG
rnacentral:rRNA from 1 species